rnacentral:rRNA from 1 species
CCAAUAGCGUAUAUUAAAGUUGUUGCAGUUAAAAAGCUCGUAGUUGAAUUUCGGGGUCAGUAGUCUGGUCGUGCCACUGGUACGUACUGGGCUCACUGAUUCCUACUUCCUGAUGAACUGUAAUGCCAUUAAUUUGGUGUUGCAGGGAAACUGGACUGUUACUUUGAAAAAAUUAGAGUGUUUAAAGCAAGCUAACGCUUGAAUACAUUAGCAUGGAAUAAUGAAAUAGGACGUUCGAUCCUAUUUUGUUGGUUUCUAGGAUUGACGUAAUGAUUAAUAGGGAUAGUUGGGGGCAUUAGUAUUCAAUUGUCAGAGGUGAAAUUCUUGGAUUUAUUGAAGACUAACUACUGCGAAAGCAUUUGCCAAGGAUGUUUUCAUUAAUCAAGAACGAAAGUUAGGGGAUCGAAGACGAUCAGAUACCGUCGUAGUCUUAACCAUAAACUAUGCCGACUAGGGAUCGGAUGAUGUUAAUUUUUUAAUGACUCAUUCGGCGCCUUACG